AUUGAACGCUGGCGGCAGGCCUAACACAUGCAAGUCGAGCGGAUGAAGGGAGCUUGCUCCUGGAUUCAGCGGCGGACGGGUGAGUAAUGCCUAGGAAUCUGCCUGGUAGUGGGGGAUAACGUCCGGAAACGGGCGCUAAUACCGCAUACGUCCUGAGGGAGAAGGUGGGGGAUCUUCGGACCUCACGCUAUCAGAUGAGCCUAGGUCGGAUUAGCUAGUUGGUGGGGUAAAGGCCUACCAAGGCGACGAUCCGUAACUGGUCUGAGAGGAUGAUCAGUCACACUGGAACUGAGACACGGUCCAGACUCCUACGGGAGGCAGCAGUGGGGAAUAGUGGACAAUGGGCGAAAGCCUGAUCCAGCCAUGCCGCGUGUGUGAAGAAGGUCUUCGGAUUGUAAAGCACUUUAAGUUGGGAGGAAGGGCAGUAAGUUAAUACCUUGCUGUUUUGACGUUACCAACAGAAUAAGCACCGGCUAACUUCGUG
rnacentral:rRNA from 1 species